rnacentral:rRNA from 1 species
UGAAUGGGGCAACCCUCUAUAUUGAAGAUAUAGAAUCCUGCAAAGGAAGCUAACCCGGGGAACUGAAACAUCUAAGUACCCGGAGGAAAAGAAAACAAAAGUGAUUUCCGUAGUAGCGGCGAGCGAGCUGGAAAUAGCCCAAACCAAUGAGAUUUAUCUUGUUGGGGUAGUAGGGCUGCAAAUAUGAUAUAUAAUCUGAAGUGGAAGUAUCUGGAAAGUUACACCAAAGAGAGUGAAAGUCUCGUAUACGUUAAGUUUAUAUAUUUAUGCAGUACCCUGAGUAGUGCGGGACUGGAAAAAUCCUGUAUGAAUCACCCGGG